ACAAUAUGCUUGUCUCAAAGAUUAAGCCAUGCAAAUGUAGGAAAACUAUCAUACAGGAUAAAUUAAUUAAUCUUGUAAUGACUUAGAAAUCUGUAGAUUGCUCAUUAAAAGAGUUAUAUGCUUAGCCACUGGUAAUAUGAUAAAAGUUUAAAUGUUUAUCAUUAUAAGGAUAACGCUGUUAACUUCUGCGAUAAUACUUGAAUUAAAAUGAAUGAUAAGUGGUUUACCAUUAAUCAUUCAGUAUUAGAAAUGGAAUGAAUUUCCUUCUAUUAAAACCAUUCUAUUAAUUAGUGAACGCAAGGGAUCUGGUUAAAUAGUUGGUUAUUGACCGACUUGAAUCAAAAAUGGACUCUUUACCUGGAUUUUAAUAGAUUUAGGAUUUUAAGGGGUUCAGAAAGUUGGCCCAGAGGAAGCGUUUCUUACCUAUCAGUUUCUGUCGUUUCAGUAAGGGUGAAACCAGACUACAACGGGUACGGGGAAUUAGUGUUCAAAUCCGGAGAGGGAGCCUGAGAAAUAGCUACCACAUCUAAGGACGGCAGCAGGCGCGAAAAUUACCCAAUACUAAUACAGUGAGGUAGUGACGAGAAAUAACGACCUUCUUUUAGAAGGGUACCGGUCAAACGGUUUGAAAUGGUGAUAAAUCAAAAUUCUAUCAGAGCAACAAUUGGAGGAAAAGUCUGGUGCCAGCACCCGCGGUAAUUCCAGCUCCAAAAGUGUAUUUUAAAGUUGUUGUGGUUAAAACGCUCGUAGUUAAUUUAAGUAUUAAUAUAUGUGGUUCAUUAAUAUUUCGUAGUUUAUUGUUGGCAUAUUUAUUUGGCUGAUAAAAAAUUAUAUUCCGCCUCGGAAGUUGAGAUAUUAACCUCGGAUCUAAACUUUUUUAAAUUCUUUUGAGUUUUGAAAGUGGUGAUUGAAUCGAUAUGUAUUGGUUGAUCGACACAUAUACUAGACAUUUAAUUGUUUAGUAAAUUAUCAACUGUGAGAAAAACAAAAUGCUCAGCAUAGACAAUAUUGGUUUUUAUUUAUAGAAACCUUGUCUGGAUGUUAUAACAUGGUAUUGAGUCCAAGUAAUUUGUUUCCUCAGGGAAAUAAAUAACGUUGCGAUGGGAAGAUAGGGGGAGGGAUCGGGUAUUGCUUCGUCAGAGGUGAAAUUCAAUGACCGAGGCAAGACUUACAGAUGCGAAAGCUGUAAAACCCACCACGCCUUCGUCAAUCAGGAACGAAAGUUAGGGGAUCGAAGAUGAUUAGAUACCAUUGUAGUCCUAACUGUAAACAAUAAUGACAAGAGAUUGGCACGAGACUUUUUUACAGAUCCCCUCAGAAUCUACAGGAAACUAAAAGUUUUUGAUUUCCAGGGGAAGUAUGGUCGCAAGGCUGAAACUUAAAAGAAUUGACGGAAGAGCACCACCAGGAGUGGAGUUUGCGGCUUAAUUCGACUCAACACGGGAAAUCUCACCAGGUCCGGAUACUAUUGGGAUCGACAGAACAAAGUUCUUUCGUGAUUUGGUAAUUGGUGGUGCAUGGCCGUUCUUAGUUCGUGGAGUGAUUUGUCAGGUUUAUUCCGAUAACGAACGAGACCUUAAUCUAUUAAUUAGGCUGUUGAUAGAUAAGAAAUUAUUUAUUUCAGUUUCUACGGAAACCAACAACAAAUGUCGAUGUCGUUAAAAAACAUUGAUAUAAUUAGCUUCUUAGAGAGACAAUGCAACGUUUUUUAAAAUUAGUGCAGGGAGGCUUAAGGCAAUAACAGGUCUGUAAUGCCCUUAGAUGUUCUGGGCAGCACGCGUAUUACAAUAUUAAUACCAACGAGCUUAUCGUGGUAAAAUAUGCCUGCUCCAUUUUAAACAGGAGUGGGAAAACUUGUCAACUAUUAAUGUGACUGGGAUAGCUGUUUGGAACUACAUCUUGAACGAGGAAUUCCUAGUAGAUGCAGGUCAUCAACCUGCAUCGAUUUAGUCCCUGCUCUUUGUACACACCGCCCGUCGCUCCUACCAAUGGAACGAAAAGGUGAAUUGGAAGGACUUUUCAUUUAUUUGAGAAGAAAUUUUACUAAACCUUUUUGUUUGUAGGAAGGAGAAGUCGUAACAAGGUCU
rnacentral:rRNA from 1 species